ACACAUCUUCGCUAGUGCUUCUCAAGAUUGUUUCUUAUCUGUCCAGUACUUUCUCUGUCAUUGGCAAAAAGAAACACAGUGGUGCUACCAGCAGUGAAGGAAAAGGAAAGUUGAGCAAACUACAGUGUCGCCACAUCGUGUCAUCUUAGAUGAAUGUCUACAUCGCCAGUAAUGACCUGCCUACACAGGCAGUGUGUGGGGCAAUCAGUUUCAGCCUGAGACUGGCUCACACCACAACCACAAGAGAAGGGAACCAGAUGUGAAGAUUGCCAAAAAGCAGCCUAAAUCGUAUCCCCAAAGAAGUUAACCCAGUUGUCCCCUCUGAGAGUACCAGCAUGCAGCUCUGUUUGAAAAACAAACUAAGAUUGUAACCUAGGCCAAUCACAAAAAAAAGAUAAUUGUGAGGAUAAGUGGCAUGAAAAUCGAAUAUAUUUUCACCAAAACUAUGACGAUAAAACGUUUUUUUAAUGCCUC